GUAUUAAUUAGGUUGGUGCAAAAGUUAUUGUGGUUUUUGCUAUUUUUUUUUAAUGGCAAAAACUGGCAAUUACUUUUGCACUAACCUAAUAG
rnacentral:miRNA from 1 species